CGGGAGAUGGUAGAGCGGUUGAAUACACCGGUCUUGAAAACCGGCGAAGGUAACACUUCCGGGGGUUCGAAUCCCCCUCUCCCGGCCA
rnacentral:tRNA from 1 species